rnacentral:rRNA from 1 species
UACAGAGGGUGCAAGCGUUGUUCGGAUUUACUGGGCGUAAAGCGUACGCAGACGGACCGUCAAGUCGGGAGUGAAAGCCUUGGGCUCAACCCAGGAACGGCUUUCGAUACUAGCGGUCUUGAGUUUGGGAGAGGGAAGCGGAAUUCCUGGUGUAGAGGUGAAAUUCGUAGAUAUCAGGAGGAACACCGGCGGCGAAGGCGGCUUCCUGGCCCAAUACUGACGUUCAGGUACGAAAGCGUGGGUAGCAAACAGGG